AACGAACGCUGGCGGCAGGCUUAACACAUGCAAGUCGAGCGACCCGCAAGGGGAGCGGCAGACGGGUGAGUAACGCUUGGGAAUCUACCCAUCUCUACGGAACAACUCCGGCAAACUGGAGCUAAAACCGUAUACGUCCGUACGGAGAAAGAUUUAUCGGAGAUGGAUGAGCCCUCGUUGGAUUAGGUAGUUGGUGGGGUAAAGGCCUACCAAGGCGACGAUCCAGAGCUGGUCUGAGAGGAUGAUCAGCCACACUGGGACUGAGACACGGCCCAGACUCCUACGGGAGGCAGCAGUGGGGAACAUUGGACAAUGGGCGCAAGCCUGAUCCAGCCAUGCCGCGUGAGUGAUGAAGGCCCUAGGGUUGUAAAGCUCUUUCAACGGUGAAGAUAAUGACGGUAACCGUAGAAGAAGCCCCGGCUAACUUCGUGCCAGCCGCCGCCGUAAGAC
rnacentral:rRNA from 1 species